rnacentral:lncRNA from 1 species
GAGGAAGUGCGAAAGUUGAUACGAGAGCCUUGCGGGGUUUCGAUCGACAUUCGGGAUGAAGAAUGUCCGUCGAGGCCUCGCAGCUGUUGUCACGGGCCCGAUGGGGAGUUCCGAGUCGUGACAACAAAUCAGCCCAUUUUCUCUUCAUAUGGCCGGUCAAACCAAGAGCAAAGGAAGAACAAAGGGAGAAAAGAAAAAAAAAAACCCUAGGUGGGAAAAUUCAAAGGAAAAUUGGUGGAUUUCAAGGAAUCAAGCAAUCAAAGGUAAAAUUUCUUGAUUUUGACUUGUGAUCUACCUUUCCCAUGCAUUUCUCAUUGUUUUCCAUGGUUAGAUUUCAUGUUUUCAUGGUGAAUUCAUGGCUGGUCAAAAUGGGUAUGGAGAGAGAAAGAUGUUAGAUUGAUUUGAUUUUAAGUUAUGUUAGUGUUUUUAGUUAGUUUAGCAUAUUUAGAAACAAAACAAUAAGAAAAGAAUUCAUUUUCCCCAUCAACCAUCAAUGGUCGAAUUUCCUAGGGAGGAUAUUGUGGUUGAAAUUGAUGAUAUUUCAUGAUAUUUUGGUGAUAUUUGAUGUUUGGUGAGGCUAGAAAUUAAAUGGAAAAUUUUGGUGUGAAAAUCUGAAUUUUUACCUAAUGUAUAGACAUGUAUGAUUAUUGACCCGAGAUUGAUAAAUUGAAUCUCAUUCGCAGUCACUGAGGUAAUUUAGGUAUAAUUGGAGUGUAGAAGUGAAAGAAAUUGAUUUGGAGUUAAAUUGGAGGUUUUAGCCAAUUACACCGAGAAUAGUGCGAAUUAGGUUGAAUACCGUAUUUAAACGUCUAUUCGAACAUUUUGCAUCACAUUUCAUGCAUUCAUAUAGAUUUAUAGAGCCUGAAAUAGUUUAUGAUAAAUUGACACAAUUUAUUGAAAUUCGUGUCACGUAUAAUGUAUAGGUGGUGAGCCCUCUAACAAGGGUAAAGAGAUUGUGCCCGAAGAUCGAGAAUAGGAGUAUAUCGAACUCCUAGUACUGUGAGUAGCCUUAUCAUCAUUUUAAUUAUUUAAAGUAUGUUUUAAUUCGGUUUUGGUGAAAUUUUAUGAAAAUGAGUUUAAAUGGUAAAUCUUUGUGUUUUACAAACAAAAUGUAUUUACAUGAAAAGAUUUUAUAAAUUGUUUUGAAAUUGAAUAAUGAUUUUGAAAAAUAGAAUAAUUGGAGACCACUUGUUAUGUUGUAAAAUUUAUGAUUUUGAAUCGAAUGGCUUAUGACAAUAUUUGCAUGAAUGACUGAAUUGACAUUUGUGUUGAAAUAUAUGAAAUGUGCCUUGAAAGGCUGUGAAUUACAAUAAUUGUCAUAUCAUGUUAUUGAAUUUUAUUGAUUGAUGGGAUAAUUAUUAGCUUACUGUAGUAGGCGGGUUUUCGUGGACUAGCCUAUUAGAGGGGCACGGUAAACCUCGUUAUAUUUUACCUCAGUUAGAGAGGCGAGUAGGGUAACUCUCGAGGUAUAACUUUUAGAGUUCACUCCAUGCCAAACCAUCACGUGAGGGGGAACUCGGCCAACGCCAAGGAACGACUAUGUUUUCAAAAUAAAACAUGAAUUUCUAAUAGUUUUGGCGGACUUAGUUGGGAUAGCCCUCGGCCAAGGUAUCCUAGAUAACUGAGUAUGAUAAUAAUUGUUGGCAUGAGCCAAGCUUUUAAGAAAUUCAUAAGCCAUACUGAUUACUUGAUUUAAAUAAAUUGAUUUCAUUUGGUUGAAAUAAGUUGAAAGAUGAUAAAUUACAGUUUGAUGAAAUGUUUUAAUAGUCUCUUUUUACUCGCUUUUAGAUAUUUUAACUGAUAUUUGUUUACUCACUGGGAUUUUAUAAUCUCACCACUUUCCUUUCCACCCAUUUCAGGCUCAAAAUAGAUUGUAGAUAACUGAUAUCGGCGAGGACUACAGUUGGACUUGCCACAUCCAAAAACUGUAGGUUCAUUUUUUUAGAUACUUUUAGUCAUUCGUGGGACCAAGUGUCAUUGUAAAUUAAAUUUUAUACUUUGGUUAUCUGUAUUACAGCAUGUAUGAAUUUAUUUUGCUUUUAC